GGACUAAUGUUGGAGCAGUUGGGGAUGUUUGGUCGUUGUCUGGACAGAAGCUGUCUGACAGUGGUCUGUGCUGCUAAGAUUUUAGAGGGAGGUCUGUGAGGAGGAGAUUAUUGCAUGCUUGGAGCGUGGCUGAGUGUAGCAUCCUCAUCUGUGAGCUGCUGUCAUCUGGAAGGCUUCAGUGGAUGAGAGAGAAAAGCAACGUAGGAUAAACUUUAAGACAAAUAAAGAAACUUUAAUAACAGCUCUGAUAAAGACUGGUCACAAAAACGUAGGAGGUGCUGUUCAGGCAUUUAUUUAUUCGUGUAAAACACUAUAAAGUCUCAGCCCACUUAAUUUGGCUGCUGGAGGUCCUUAGGCCAUCUCUGUCACUGUGUGGGUGGCAGUAGGGGAGCAGUGCUCUGAAAUGUUUUGCUUUGCUUCCCCCUUGUGAGAGCUGUGGGUAAUACAAGUGAGUAUUUUUUCAUUAGCUGUUAAUUGUGAGUGUGUAGGAGGGUAAAAAAACUACUGGUCUGUGACUGUACUGUUUGUGACUUUAUAAAAGGUAGAGAUGAGGUACUCUGCAUUGCAAGGGGGAUUUGUGCUUCAGCUGAUCCUAGUUUGACUUCUGUUCCUGUUACCUGUUUAGGGGCUGGUGCAGAUUGCUUUGUAGGAUAACUUGAUUGGCCUAAAUGAAUUACACAGGGAACAGGAAUGGGCUAAUACCCAUAUCAGCCUCAAAGAGAAAUGUGUGAGACUUAGGAAUGUGGUGCAUCCAUAAUACAAGACAGUUUCUUGACAGCAUCAAAUAGUUCAGGCUUGGAAUCUCAGCAGAUGUUAAAAGCCACAAACUCCAAGGCAGCUCCCUUAGCAAGGGAUGGCCUGACUCAAACAACAGUUCAAGUGGCAAGACCUGAAAACAUGCCUUGGUAGGUCAGGUUUGGCAGUCUUAUUGCCCUUCACCCCAUAGAGGUUUUCCAUUACUUGAUGCGUGCAGAGCUUUGAGCAGCGUGCUCCAUCCACCUGUGGGUUAUGUAACUGAAUUCUGUGUGUCUGUAAAGUUUGUGCCCUAUGAAUACAAGCUGAGAUUCAGGUGGGUUUUUUUAUUAUUACUAUGUCAAUCUUUUUUUUUGCUGUCUUGUGAGCUGCCAAAUGAAGGCAGUUUCCUGCAAGCCCAGAGAUUGAGGGUCACUUUCUCUCCAUCGUUCUGCAUUGCACAGCACUUCUCCCCCUGCUCCCAUGAAAACUGAAUAGCUCAUUUCUAUUUGAAGGUUUUUGAAACAGAAACAAAAUAGGACAUAACCUUGCUGAGUUGGCUGGCUGCAGUGUUUUUUGAUUAGAGAUAAGUGGAGUAAUUAGUGUAUUGCCUAGCCUGAAAGCAAUCCCUAGCUCUGCAGUUGCAGCUGUGCUCAGCGCCAGUGGUAAAUGGCCUGACUUUGCUCAUGUUGUAAUAGUGCCUCCUCAUUCACAAGUGCUGCUUGUUAAGAAAUUGACACUCAAGUCAUCCUUACCUCUUUAAUAAAUAGAAUGCAAUUAUAAUCAUCUGUAAUGUCUGUUGAAAGCUCAGGUUGUAUCUUUUUUUCACCAGUAUAGUGAUCUGCCA
rnacentral:lncRNA from 1 species